GAAGAUUCUGGUUGACCUUGGAGGAGCUUCCUUCCUUGGAUGUGGUGUUGGGAGGGUGGUUCUUGGGGUGGUCCCCUCCAUGGAGACCUGAGGGUUGAAGAUGUUCUUGGGAAGGUUUCAGUAGGGCAGCCCUAUAGAUCCUAAAUCCAUUUGCGGAGGCUUGGGUAAUGCGAGGAGGAGGAGGAGGGUCUCUGCUUUCCUUGGAGCAUGUUCUGCAGGCUUUGGAGGCUCAGGGAGGAAGGCCUCAAGCCACGUUAGUGUCAGACUUUAGGGCUGUUUAGUAACACAAGGGGGAAAACAGGGAUGAAUGGAGCUGGGGUGUCCCAUGCUUUGGGCAAAUGCUCCCAUGCUUUCCUGUUCUGCUGGAAAAUGUCAGCCUUCUGGGGACAAGUGGGUGUCUGGAGGGCUGUCCUGCACCUGGGGCCUGUCAGUCCUUCCAGCCUGAUGUCAGGGCUGGGAUGGGAGCCUGAUGGCUGGGCCCCACAUCCAGAAACUGAAGAGUUUGGGUCUCAUCAUCCGGAAGGCAUGUCCAGGGCAACAAUUCAUUUCUCAUCUCCCGGGCCAUCCUGCAGUGCUCCCUUUGCACUUUCUGAGAUACCUCCUGAAAAAGCAAGAUGCAAUGAUUGGUCUUUGAGAAGUGUAUCUAUGGCUUUACCUGGAGAAGAAUUGUGUUGCAGCACUGUAUCUCCAAACUGCAUCCCAGAGAUAAUGGGGAGCGUGAAGCUGGUAGUGGCCCCUUCAGGCACCUGGAAUAAAUGCAGCAUCUCUAAAGGAUUGCUUUGGUUUCUGCUCAGAGCAGACGGAGCUGCAUGAGGCUGAGACUUGUCGAGUUUCCUGGCUUUACAAGGUUCAGUUUGGGGGUUUUGGGUGCUGUGGUUUGGGGUGCAGGAGGGUGAGCGCCACAUACGGAUGGUUUCUCUCCAAUGCAAAAAAUGCAACGGGGGUAAAAAUAAAUAAAUU
rnacentral:lncRNA from 7 species